GGGGGGCGGGGCUGGCCGGCAGGGCGGAAGCGGCGCGGCGCCGGCCGGGUGCGGCCUCCGCAGCCGGGCUCACUGCGGCCCUGCGGGUUCCCUGUCCCCGUCCCUCAACCUCUUUCCCCCUCCCCCGCCCUCUUUCCCCUUUCCCCCUCCUUCCCCCCCCUCCCCUCCCCCCCCCCCAUACUCCCCGGUCCCGCUGCCACCGGCGAUGGACGCGCGGGCACGAGCCAGGCGCUACGAGAAGCUGGACUUCCUAGGAGAGGGUCAGUUCGCUACCGUCUAUAAAGCGAGGGAUAAGAACACCAACCAAAUCGUGGCUAUUAAAAAGAUUAAACUGGGACAUAGAUCAGAAGCUAAAGAUGGAAUCAACAGAACAGCCCUGAGGGAGAUAAAAUUGUUACAGGAGCUAAGCCAUCCAAAUAUUAUUGGUCUUUUAGAUGCAUUUGGACACAAGUCCAAUAUUAGUUUGGUGUUCGAUUUUAUGGAAACAGAUCUGGAGGUUAUUAUAAAGGAUACUAGUAUUGUGUUGACCCAGUCUCAUAUCAAGGCAUAUAUGCUAAUGACACUUCAAGGAUUAGAAUAUUUACAUCAGCACUGGAUUCUUCACAGGGAUCUUAAACCAAAUAAUUUAUUGCUAGAUGAAAAUGGGGUUUUAAAAUUGGCUGACUUUGGCUUAGCAAAAUCUUUUGGAAGCCCAAACAGAGUUUAUACACACCAAGUAGUAACAAGGUGGUACCGAGCACCAGAACUGUUGUUUGGUGCUAGAAUGUAUGGUGUUGGUGUCGAUAUGUGGGCAGUUGGUUGUAUUUUAGCUGAAUUGCUUCUCAGGGUUCCUUUUUUGCCUGGAGACUCUGAUCUUGACCAGCUGACAAGGAUAUUUGAAACACUGGGCACUCCAACAGAAGAACAGUGGCCUGGGAUGACAAGUCUUCCAGAUUAUGUCACAUUUAAGUCUUUCCCUGGAAUGCCUCUUCAACAUAUCUUCAGUGCAGCUGGUGAUGAUUUGCUCAAUCUUCUGCAAGGCUUAUUCACAUUUAAUCCUUGCACUAGGGUUACAGCUACUCAGGCAUUGAAGCAGAAAUAUUUCAGUAACCGACCAGGACCCACUCCAGGAAAUCAGCUGCCAAGGCCCAACUGUCCUGCAGAAGCUAUAAAGGAGCAGCAAAAUGCACUUUUACAUUUAAAAAUGAGAAGAACAGAAGGAGUAGAUCAAGCCUCAAGAUUGCAAUAAGAGAUGGAGGGAGAUCCAGCUGGGAAAACUAUACCAGCGCUCCUGUCAACCUGUGGCUGUUGAACAAUUCAUAGUGCAGAUACUGGGCUCAGCUCUGCCUGAUUUCCAGCAUGGCUGUGUUGCAAAGUGUCUGCUGGGUAACCAAACAUCUGCAGUGAAGAGACACAAGCCAGUAGGUGCUGUUAAUGCAGCUUAACCGCAUGCCCACCCUUGUUGUGCAGUGGAUCUCAGGGAUACCUGGUGAGCCAUUGUCAUUUUCCCACCUGUGAACUGCUAUCAGCCUUCUGGUUUUUAUGUGGCAAGUGUAUUAGUAGAUGAUGUUGAGCCUUGUAGAGGAAGAGCAACCAUCUUGCUCCUGUGCUACUUUGUUUUACUCCUACCUUGAGCCAAUAUGAAGUAUGCUGGCCUUGUGAGGAAGAAAAGUUACUAGGCUCCCAGUAACCCACUAUGUUCUGUAUUGGUUGGUGGCAGUUGAAAAUUUAAUUUCCCACUAAGAUCUAACAGACAGUGUAGAGAAAAUGUUUAUCAAAUAACAUUAGUUACAGCAGUUUUUACUGUCUGUGUAAUCAAACAUCAUCAUCCUGAACACAAGAUGGGGGGAUUAAGAGAAUCACAGUCCUAUUUCUCACAGGCAUAUGUACAAAAAUGUUAAUCUGAAUAGGAAGGAGAGAGCUAGGAGUACUGUAAACUUUUCUGCAUUGAACUUAUCAAGGCCAGCAUUCUGACUGGACUUCAAAGCCUGGAAACCUUCAGCCCCUAAAACAGAUACUGUAUUUUUCAGUGAGUAUCCUAAUUAUUUGGUAUAACAGAGUUUGCAUGGCAGUAACAAUUUUAAGUAUUCUGUCAGCUCUGCUUUGAGAGUAACACCAUUCCCUUCUUGUCAAAUGCUGCAUGUGUCUAGAUGAUACCCUUCCCUGAAGGAAGCCUUCUCCGGCAGAACAAGUAGCAAUACUCUAAGCUCCUACUGGCAAAAGUUGUAGGGUGUAGGUACUGAGCUAGAUGGGCAGUCAGUAUUUGAAUGUAUAGAGCACAGUUACUGUGAUUUGUAAGAGAGAGGUUGAAGAGAGAGGAUAUUCUGUGACCAAGACUACUGUCUUAUAUGCUUUGACUCGUGUUUACCAUAUAAGAUGCUCAAGAACAGCAGUGCUUCUGUAAUAAUGUAAGUUCAGGAGCUGCUCCUUUCCAGCUGCCACACAGCAAUUCAUCCGGCAUACUGUGCAUUGCAUAUAUGGUUGGGGCCUGCUCUAUACCAUGAGAGUAUAUAGUAGGUCCUGUUUUCAGCUGAGUUCAUGAGUGAAGCCACCUGUGUCAGGGACUAAAAUUGCCAGUGGUGGUGGUGUGUGUACAUAAAGAGUAUGUAUAUUACAGAGUAAGAUAAGAUUAGAAAAAGGAUCAGCAUAGUAUUUUUUCUUAACCCCAGGCUUUUGGAUGGUUUGAUUUAAUUUUUAUGAAUUAGGUCAGAACUCUGGAAGGAAUAUUUGUGACUCCUGGUGCAUAUAACUUAAUAUGCAAUCAUAUGCUAUUAGUCAACUAAAUACUGUUUAAUUUAUGACUUGUAAGCUUUAUGUCAUGCUAAUCAUGCUUCAGCUUUGAUAAUCUGUCUUUUAUCACACCAACUCAUUGAAUAUACAGCUGCUGCAAUUUACUCAGGUUCUGUUCAGAACCACAACAAUCAAGGAUAGUUUGUCUCGAGCCUGCAAUGUGCCUGCUUGUGCAAAGGUCUAAGCUGUACACUUGUGCAAACUGGAAUGUGAUCUGAAUGCCUUCUUUCUUGGGUUGAGAUGGUUCUUCUGCCCAUACCACCUUUUUAUCAUGAGUUACUGCGGUUUCUUCCUGAAAGAUACCAGGAUUACCUGUGGUGGCAUAGACAACAAGAACUGCUAGCUAUCACAUCCUCAUCUUGUCUCCCUGGUUCUUGAUUGGUGCCAACGCUGCGUGACCCCUGCAGCCCUUUUGUUUUGACAAAGAAGGCUCAGAGCCAGAUUGAGGUGUAACAUACAGUUGUUGCUUUACAUUCGUGGUAUGUUCUUAUCCAUGGUGUGGCCUUGAUGCUGUCAGCAUUCCAGGCAGCACUGCUAGUUCUUUGCUUUGACCUGUGUUCGCCCUUGGCUUUUGUGAUUGUUCUUGUUCUCUUGACGUACUGCAUAUAUACUGCUCGCUUAACUCCUUAGCCAUUUCUUCAGGUGCACAAAUGUUUAUGGUCCCUGUGCUCCAAUGUAAUGAUGCUUUUACGGAACAGGUUUUACCUGUGACCUUUUAAUACUCAUUUGCUUCUUCAAGAGGAGGGACGGAUCAUUACAAGAAAGGCUAUAGUUAGGCCUGCUUUUCUUCAAAAAAAAUGCCUAUGUUCUCCCUUGUAUUUCAUAGUCAACUAUGUCAGCUUCAUCUCUGAGGUAAGGUAUUCUCUCCACGUAGCUGUAAUGAAAUCACAGGGUAAAACAGGGAUGGGUCUGCAUAUAUGUAGCUUGUCAGGUUGAGAUAAACUUCCUGAAGAGCUAAACUGAGUGCUUUGAACACUUUUGGCAGGCAGUUUUGACAUACAGCUUACUAAUACCCAGUAGUGUGAGAGGUUGGGGAAGCCUACCACCACUACCAGGAAAGCUUCAGAAACAGCUCUAUUCUCACUAGCUUGAGAACUCUGGUUGGCCAAAUAUUGUUCAUCAUAUAAUGCCAAUUUCUCUUUUUCAAGCUUCCCCAAGUAGAGCUGGAAUAAAAUCUCAGUUUUGAUGCUAUUGAACUAGCCUCAUAUUAUCUCUAUGGUAAAUUCUAGUAUUUUCGGUUUGGUUUGGUUUUGUGUUUUUUUUUUUUUUUUUUCCUUUCUAUUUAUGAAGAACUUACUUAGAAAAUUUCUAUUGAUCUCCUUUCAAAGAAAUGGACAGGGGGUUGAGUGGGGAGGGUUCUUCUUUUCCUUCCAAAGAAUCAAAUCCACAGACAACCACACCAGUUUUCCCUGCCACUAGAGGCAGUGUCUGACAGAGAAAUAAAGCAGAUGGUUGGAUGUAGAAACAACUCUCUGAUCUUAACCUAACACUUGUCUCUCUGAGAAUCAUCACUCUGCCAGCUUGAAGCUCCUUGUACAGAUGGAGAACUGAACCGUCUCUCAUCAUGCAGCUUGAGCCUACUUCAUAAUCCUGUAGAACUUUAGUAAGAUGCUUUAUAGUGACUUUAUCUAGGAACUCAGGGGCAUGCAGGCCUCCUUUCUUUCAUCUGUCACUCAUUAACUCCAGCAAGACUUAGUUCCUCAAGCCAGCACCAGACUCCCUGCUGCUGGUUGGUUACCUGAGUGUCAGAAAUGCAUAAAUGUGCUGAGAAACACUGUUGUCUCCUUUUCUCCUCACACAAUAUUUUCUCAGCGUCACCCAAGUUAAAUGGCUAUGUCAGUUAUUUGUAAGGUAAAAGUAUUAGCUGUGAUUAAGAAACCUGAGACAUCAUGUAAUAAAAUCUUGAUUUAGGAAUGAAAAGCUGUACUGCAUACAGCUGCUGAGAAGUCAGGAAGAAUGACAUUUAUAAUUGGGAUGACAAGGUAUUGUGCUGAAAAGGGUCAACAAAGAGCAUGCAAAUGCAGCACCUGGAGAGUUCAGUGCAAAACUGUAUAAUAUCACUCUUCUGUACUUUGGCUAUAAUAUUAACCUACUCAGAAAGGUUUAGUUGGUGCAUUUCCUUAAUAGACAAUGCAGAUUUUAAACCACUUUAAUAUUGGAGCAAAAAAACAACUAAGCAACCAGUUUAUUAAACUAUCAUUCUCAAAAUAAAAGGGGUUUUUAGGCAGAUUUGACUGGAAAUACCAGCCUUAUGGGUUUCUUAAUACUAAAAUCUUAAAAUGCUAUGAAAUGCUUUCUUUCAAGUCCAGCAAGUGAUUUAAAACAUUUAAUUUGAUCAGAAUUGAACCAAAUUUGACAAGGUAAGUGCAUGUUUGUUUGGUUGGGUUUUUUUUUCAUUUGGAUUACUUUAUUUUUUUUUAAUAACUACUACCAGCUAGGAAAGACUAGUGUGAAUUAUGGAACACUAAUAAAAAUAUAGUGGAAGAUACCACCGUUUAGCAUUAUGACCAACCUGAUAUUCUGGAAGGACCGGUUACAUGUGCGUGUCUGGCCCCACAUGCACGGACAGUCUCUGUCAUCUCCGUAAUCGGCCCCACCUUGGAGAUUUAUAGUUAGAUUGCUCUUGCCUUGCACUGGCAAGGUGUUCUCUUUGAUAUUAUAGUUGCUCUCUGUGCCCCCCUGCACUUGUACACAUGAUCUUGAAGGUGAUCAUCCAAUUACAGUAGUAACAGAUACUACAGUAUGAAAGUCUGUUACUAGAUCCCAAGGCAACUGAUGCUCUUCUGAAAGCUUCUGCAGGGAGAUGUAGUCUCCCACCCCUAGAGAGGCUGACAACAGCUUGAAAGCUUAGAUCUAAAAUCUCUAACCAAGAAGUGACAUAAAAGUUACAUUUUUUUUCUAACUGUCAUUGGACUCUUCACAGCCAUUACUGUCAUACACUUAAUGUAUUUAUUUUUAAGCAGAGUAGCAACUGGAGGGUCAAAUAAGUAAGGUGUAGCGGCCAAGAUCUCCGGGCUAAAAGAGUAACUGGCGACUUGGUGCUCUCGGCAAAUGCUGGCGUGGGCCAUACCCUGUCCUUGGGCUUCCCACAGACAGCCAAGCAUUAAAACACCUCUGAGAUUCUUCAACUGCUUUGUGUCAAAGUGGGCUCUUCCCACUUGCUUUUUGUCAGGUCUACAGCUGAUCUAUACUGUGCUAUGGCAGGUGCUCCUGCCACAAUUCCUAGGUACACAGGCUUUUGGAAUAUAUCCAAAGGUUCUGGAAGCCCGUGGCUACCUAGGAGGAUCUGGGGAGAAGUGAUCCAUAAUCCAAGUGCUGAUGCAUACUUGUGAUGCACUAUACCUUACACUUGCAAGUGGCCAUAGUUAAUAAUUGACAGAAGUACACUCCACACUUGCAAGUGGUUAUAGACAAUAGUUAGCAUACAUCACACUGGUGGUAGUCAUAGUUACUGUACAUAUCGGGACAAUUGCGAGGCCCUGAAGAUUGGUUGAGCAAAACUUUGAAUAGUGGUCAAGAUGACCUUGAUUAGCAAUAAGGAAUUAAUGAAGAAUAGGCUUUGGAAAAUGGGUAGAACAUCUUGGAUCAUAGUAAGAACAUCUGGGAUUGUGUUGAGGGUGAGUUAUUUGACAACCUGGCAAAGUGAGUACUCGAUUAAGUAGCUUGGCAAUGAAACUAACUUUUAAGUGUCAUAAGAGUGAACUACCUUAAUUAUAAUAUUAAAAAACACAUCCUCAGGUCAGAAAGACCCCUGCCCAGGUUAAAGACCCCCUGGGCAUGUGUAGUAAUAAAAGCCUUAUGUAAUCUGCAUUAUAAUCACUGACCAAUCAGUAUCUAAUAGGCAUGUCUGGAGAAGUACUAACCUGUGAUUUUUGUGUAUAAAAGAAGCACCUAAACUUGCUGUUAGGUGUGCUUGAUUUGUGGAAAAUCUACCGAGCACCCAGGCAGACCCACUAACGGUGGCAUCUUCCACUAUAUUUUUAUUAGUGUUCCAUAAUUCACACUAGUCUUUCCUAGCUGGUAGUAGUUAUUAAUAAAAUAGUAUCUCUCCUGAGCAUGUUAAGAUUGGCUUAUUGCAUGCCAGGCACAAAUCCAAUUUUUGGGUAACAUUUUGGGAAAAAAAACUGGGGAAGUCUUGAGUUUAUUAUGGCCUGCAGCCACUUAGACUGUGAGAUGGGUACAGUCUUGCAGUAAGUAAAACUCGUAGGUGGUAAAUAAAUUAUUUUUACUGUCUGAUCACACCUUUGCAUGGUGCUCUCCUUUACUGGACUACCUUUUCCACAGGCAACUUCCAGCAAACAUCACAGCAGUUAGGUCAUUAGCUGUGUAAGGGGCUCAGUUUGGAUCUGAGUGGUGGUUUCCAGAACACAUGCAUGCACAUGCACAGACAUUUCCCCUCCUUUCCUUAACCACAUUUUUGACUGGUGUCUAAUUGCUAGGCUCAGGGAAAAUACACAUUUACCUAAAAAGCAAUUUCACAUAUUUUGUGUUUUAACAGGCAUAUGAAGUGUAAAUCUACACUAUAAAAAUUACCUAAUUUUAUGUAAGUGGCCACCAUGGUGUGUAACAAUCUGGUUUUGUUUUCCUUCUGAUCACAUUUACAUUUGGAAAGAUUUUCUGUAUGUCAUUUCACCUGAAAAACAGCCAAGUGGUAGACUUCUCAUUGAAUGCAGACCUUUUGUGCUCUUCUCUGCCAGUUGGCACAGACCAAAAUCCUUUAAUUACUGGAAAAAUCUUGAACUUGCAAAACAUUGAAAGCAUCAUUCCAAGUUGCAGCUUUGUUUCAAAAGAUGUGAACAAACCAGCACAAUUCCUUAUAUUUUUACCCUAAAAUACACUGGUUCAUAGUUUGUGAGUACUGAGGAAGCAGAGUCCUUGAGCAUUCCUGGUAAGUUAUGAUUUUGCUAUACUAUGCCAAAAAGCUUUCUGCUUCACCACUAACAUCUUCAGAGUUCUCUAUAGAGGUAGUAAUACCGUAUUCUUCUCACGGUGAAAAGGGACAGUGAGCACCUCUAGAAAUGAGUUAGGAGUGAGUGAAGUGGAUGCAUGUAAACAUGCAUCAUCUGCAAGUGAAACUGUAGUUAGGAUCCAAGCAUAAUGCCUUUCCUGGUGACCUGAGCAAAGCUGGUGUGCCACAGAAGGUCACUGGUGUGUAUGAAACAGGGCUUGGUAUCCUGCAGGCAGAGUUUUGUAGGCUGCCUGAAGGCAAGUGGAUCAAAGUGACAGUGCUUCUGGGGCGUCAGGUUCUGCUGCUCUGCUCUUCGUACACACUGAGUGAGGAAAGUGGCUUGCUCCGAGGGCCCAACUGGCUUCUUACCAGGACUUUCUCUGGGAAAUGCCACAUGGUUACAGUUUCUAACAGAACACUUUCCUUCAUUCCUUGCUCUCUAGCACCUGAACCAAGGAAGUCUGAAAUUUUAACUCCAUUUCUUCGCUGUCUUGCUUACCGCUGGGCCACUUCUUGCAUCUGUUCUGCCUGACUCAUUAAAUGUCUGUAUAUCUAUGUUUGUAAAAUUCCUCAUACAAAGCAAGGCCAAAACAUCUUGCCUUUCUCUACUGAUGCUAUGAUUCCCCAUCACUUGAAAGCCCUAAGUCAGAAUUAGCAUCUCUUCAAAGAGGCACUCUUUACCCUGCCAAAAGGAAGUUUGAGGCAGAAAUUACUGGAUGAAGAUUUCUGGCCAGUAAAUCAGAUUAGGGGAACAACAGCCUUUUCUGGAUUCAGAAUAUGUAUUUGAUGAGUAAACCUUAUUCUAAAUGCAUGGAUAGUUUCAGAGUGACAGUUUCUUUUCAUGCAGUAAUGUUGGCUCAUUGCUUUGCUAUUAGCCUGCUUAAUGCUUGCCAGCAACACAGCAGGAAAGUUCAAGCCUUUCUGGUGACAAACUUUUCACUUAAAAAGCCAAGGCACACAUCUUGGGGCUCUGGGGUGCUCUAGCUGAUUAGAAAGUCCAUUACAGAGCUUUGCUGUUUUCUUCAGUGUAGAGGCUGGAUUUAUUUGUGUCAGUGAUAAUGGCACUGGCAUUAAGAAACCUGCACGAAGAAGUGAAUUAAUGGUGUUCCUCACUCAGUGAAUGCUUGUUGCUAUCCCAGGCAUGAUGAUGCUGUGUACUCUUUCACCGUAUCUGUAUGUGGCCUUCACCAGUCUCUCUUUGCAAGACAGUUUCAUUUUUAGAUUCAGCCUCAGAUUCUCCUUCAGAUGUGGAAAUUAAAGCCUGACCAGUCAGCUUCUCGUGGUUGUAGAAGUCUGGAACAGAAAUAAAAGAUGAGCGUA